rnacentral:rRNA from 1 species
AAAUUGAAGAGUUUGAUCAUGGCUCAGAUUGAACGCUGGCGGCAGGCCUAACACAUGCAAGUCGAACGGUAACAGGAAGAAGCUUGCUUCUUUGCUGACGAGUGGCGGACGGGUGAGUAAUGUCUGGGAAACUGCCUGAUGGAGGGGGAUAACUACUGGAAACGGUAGCUAAUACCGCAUAACGUCGCAAGACCAAAGAGGGGGACCUUCGGGCCUCUUGCCAUCGGAUGUGCCCAGAUGGGAUUAGCUAGUAGGUGGGGUAACGGCUCACCUAGGCGACGAUCCCUAGCUGGUCUGAGAGGAUGACCAGCCACACUGGAACUGAGACACGGUCCAGACUCCUACGGGAGGCAGCAGUGGGGAAUAUUGCACAAUGGGCGCAAGCCUGAUGCAGCCAUGCCGCGUGUAUGAAGAAGGCCUUCGGGUUGUAAAGUACUUUCAGCGGGGAGGAAGGGAGUAAAGUUAAUACCUUUGCUCAUUGACGUUACCCGCAGAAGAAGCACCGGCUAACUCCGUGCCAGCAGCCGCGGGUAAUACGGAGGGUGCAAGCGUUAAUCGGAAUUACUGGGCGUAAAGCGCACGCAGGCGGUUUGUUAAGUCAGAUGUGAAAUCCCCGGGCUCAACCUGGGAACUGCAUCUGAUACUGGCAAGCUUGAGUCUCGUAGAGGGGGGUAGAAUUCCAGGUGUAGCGGUGAAAUGCGUAGAGAUCUGGAGGAAUACCGGUGGCGAAGGCGGCCCCCUGGACGAAGACUGACGCUCAGGUGCGAAAGCGUGGGGAGCAAACAGGAUUAGAUCCCCUGGUAGUCCACGCCGUAAACGAUGUCGACUUGGAGGUUGUGCCCUUGAGGCGUGGCUUCCGGAGCUAACGCGUUAAGUCGACCGCCUGGGGAGUACGGCCGCAAGGUUAAAACUCAAAUGAAUUGACGGGGGCCCGCACAAGCGGUGGAGCAUGUGGUUUAAUUCGAUGCAACGCGAAGAACCUUACCUGGUCUUGACAUCCACGGAAGUUUUCAGAGAUGAGAAUGUGCCUUCGGGAACCGUGAGACAGGUGCUGCAUGGCUGUCGUCAGCUCGUGUUGUGAAAUGUUGGGUUAAGUCCCGCAACGAGCGCAACCCUUAUCCUUUGUUGCCAGCGGUCCGGCCGGGAACUCAAAGGAGACUGCCAGUGAUAAACUGGAGGAAGGUGGGGAUGACGUCAAGUCAUCAUGGCCCUUACGACCAGGGCUACACACGUGCUACAAUGGCGCAUACAAAGAGAAGCGACCUCGCGAGAGCAAGCGGACCUCAUAAAGUGCGUCGUAGUCCGGAUUGGAGUCUGCAACUCGACUCCAUGAAGUCGGAAUCGCUAGUAAUCGUGGAUCAGAAUGCCACGGUGAAUACGUUCCCGGGCCUUGUACACACCGCCCGUCACACCAUGGGAGUGGGUUGCAAAAGAAGUAGGUAGCUUAACCUUCGGGAGGGCGCUUACCACUUUGUGAUUCAUGACUGGGGUGAAGUCGUAACAAGGUAACCGUAGGGGAACCUGCGGUUGGAUCACCUCCUUA